rnacentral:rRNA from 1 species
CCGAUCUGAGUGAACUUGUUCAUGAAGCAAUCGGAAGUGGUUCCAAGAAAAGCCUCUAAGCUUCAGUCAUACGAGACCGUACCGCAAACCGACACAGGUGGGCGAGAUGAGUAUUCUAAGGCGCUUGAGAGAACUCGGGAGAAGGAACUCGGCAAAUUGGUACCGUAACUUCGGGAAAAGGUACGCCCUUGUAGCUUGACCACUUUACUGUGGAAGGGUGAACGGGUUGCAAUAAACUGGUGGCUGCGACUGUUUAAUAAAAACACAGCACUCUGCAAACACGAAAGUGGACGUAUAGGGUGUGACGCCUGCCCGGUGCUGGAAGAUUAAAUGAUGGGGUGCAAGCUCUUGAUUGAAGUCCCAGUAAACGGCGGCCGUAACUAUAACGGUCCUAAGGUAGCGAAAUUCCUUGUCGGGUAAGUUCCGACCUGCACGAAUGGCGUAACGAUGGCCACACUGUCUCCUCCCGAGACUCAGCGAAGUUGAAAUGUUUGUGAUGAUGCAAUCUACCCGCGGCUAGACGGAAAGACCCCAUGAACCUUUACUGUAGCUUUGUAUUGGACUUUGAACAGAUCUGUGUAGGAUAGGUGGGAGGCUUUGAAGUAGGGUCGCUAGAUCUUAUGGAGCCAACGUUGAAAUACCACCCUGGUGUGUUUGAGGUUCUAACCUUGGUCCAUUAUCUGGAUCGGGGACAGUGCAUGGUAGGCAGUUUGACUGGGGCGGUCUCCUCCUAAAGUGUAACGGAGGAGUUCGAAGGUACGCUAGAUACGGUCGGACAUCGUGUUGAUAGUGCAAUGGCAUAAGCGUGCUUAACUGCGAGACUGACAAGUCGAGCAGGUACGAAAGUAGGACAUAGUGAUCCGGUGGUUCUGUAUGGAAGGGCCAUCGCUCAACGGAUAAAAGGUACUCUGGGGAUAACAGGCUGAUACCGCCCAAGAGUUCAUAUCGACGGCGGUGUUUGGC